rnacentral:rRNA from 1 species
AUUGAACGCUGGCGGCAUGCCUUACACAUGCAAGUCGAACGCGAAAGGGGGGCAACUCCUGAGUAGAGUGGCGCACGGGUGAGUAAUGCAUCGGAACGUGUCCUGUAGCGGGGGAUAACCUAGCGAAAGCUAGGCUAAUACCGCAUACGUCCUACGGGAGAAAGUGGGGGAUCGUAAGACCUCACACGAUAGGAGCGGCCGAUGCCGGAUUAGCUAGUUGGUGGGGUAAGAGCUCACCAAGGCGACGAUCCGUAGCUGGUCUGAGAGGAUGAUCAGUCACACUGGGACUGAGACACGGCCCAGACUCCUACGGGAGGCAGCAGUGGGGAAUUUUGGACAAUGGGGGAAACCCUGAUCCAGCCAUGCCGCGUGAGUGAAGAAGGCCUUCGGGUUGUAAAGCUCUUUCGGCCGGGACGAAAUCGCACGCGUGAAUAUCGCGUGUGGAUGACGGUACCGGUAGAAGAAGGACCGGCUAACUACGUGCCAGCCGCCGCCGUAAUAC